UACGGAGGGUGCGAGCGUUGUCCGGAAUCAUUGGGCGUAAAGGGCGCGUAGGUGGUUUGUCGCGUUGUUCGUGAAAUCUCACGGCUUAACUGUGAGCGUGCGGGCGAUACGGGCAGACUAGAGUACUGCAGGGGAGACUGGAAUUCCUGGUGUAGCGGUGGAAUGCGCAGAUAUCAGGAGGAACACCGGUGGCGAAGGCGGGUCUCUGGGCAGUAACUGACGCUGAGGAGCGAAAGCGUGGGGAGCGAACAGG
rnacentral:rRNA from 1 species